rnacentral:rRNA from 1 species
GACGAACGCUGGCGGCGUGCCUAAUACAUGCAAGUAGAACGCAGUUGCGAACGGGUGAGUAACGCGUCGGUAACUGCCCCAUAGCGGGGGAUAACCAUUGGGAACGAUAGGCAAAACCGCAUUCUUUGAGAUGGACCUGCAUUGUAUUAGCUUGUGGGGGGGGAAAAGGCUAACCAAGGCGACUAUCCAUAGCCGACCUGAGAGGAUGACCGGCCACACUGGGACUGAGACACGGCCCAGACUCCUACGGGAGGCAGCAGUAGGGAAUCUUCGGCAAUGGACGGAAGUCUGAUCGAGCAACGCCGCGUGAAUGAAGAAGGUUUUCGGAUCGUAAAGCACUGUUAUUAGAGAAGCGGUACCUAACCAGAAAGGGACGGUUACCUACGUGCCAGCGCCCGCGGUAUUC